GAAUCUGCGGGUGGCCGGUCCUGUCCCGGGCCGGCAACCCGUCAGAUGGUGGGGAUCAGAGCAUGUCGAACAGCGUGCGCUACAGCUUGCGUGUUGGACACUACAUUGAGUUUGCGGCGGGCAUUGGUCAUGAAGAAACGCACCGUUCGCUCGGAUAUGCCGAGAAUCGUUGCGAUCUCCCAGUAGCUCU
rnacentral:sRNA from 1 species